rnacentral:rRNA from 1 species
UACGGGGGGGCAAGCGUUGUUCGGAAUUACUGGGCGUAAAGGGCUCGUAGGCGGCCAACUAAGUCAUACGUGAAAUCCCUCGGCUUAACCGGGGAACUGCGUCUGAUACUGGAUGGCUUGAGUUCGGGAGAGGGAUGCGGAAUUCCAGGUGUAGCGGUGAAAUGCGUAGAUAUCGGGAGGAACACCAGUGGCGAAGGCGACUUCCUGGCCUGUUCUUGACGCUGAGGCGCGAAAGCUAGGGGAGCAAACGGG